rnacentral:misc_RNA from 1 species
GAUGAAGAACGCAGCGAAAUGCGAUAAGUAAUGUGAAUUGCAGAAUUCAGUGAAUCAUCGAAUCUUUGAACGCACCUUGCGCUCCUUGGUAUUCCGAGGAGCAUGCCUGUUUGAGUGUCAUUAAUAUAUAUCAUCCCUCUUCUUGAGUGGUUUGGAUCUGGGGGUUUGCUGGGCCUUGUGAUUGGUUCAGCUCCCCUGAAAUGCAUUAGCAGAACGACCUGUUCCAUUCAUUGGUGUGAUAACUAUCUACGCUAUCGAGUGUGGGGCGGUUCAGCUUCCUAACAGUCCUCGGACAAUCUAUCAUUUUAUGUGACCGCAAAUCAGGUAGGACUACCCGCUGAACUUAAGCAUAUCAAUAAGCGGAGGA